UACGAAGGGGGCUAGCGUUGUUCGGAAUUACUGGGCGUAAAGCGCACGUAGGCGGGUUGUUAAGUCAGGGGUGAAAUCCUGGAGCUCAACUCCAGAACUGCCUUUGAUACUGGCAAUCUCGAGUUCGGGAGAGGUGAGUGGAACUGCGAGUGUAGAGGUGAAAUUCGUAGAUAUUCGCAAGAACACCAGUGGCGAAGGCGGCUCACUGGCCCGAUACUGACGCUGAGGUGCGAAAGCGUGGGGAGCAAACAGG
rnacentral:rRNA from 1 species